GUGCUGGCAGCGGUGGGGGCUCUGGAAGAGAUACAAGGCGCUUUCUGAAAGUUGAAUUCAAGGAAUGAAAACUACCUACUACGGGGAAGUGUCUCCUCUGGCAGCAAUGUGCCUUACACAGCAGUGACACCAAAAAAUUGACAGUACUGUUCGAGCUGCAGAUGAAAGCUGGCUGGAGUGCCACUGUGGGCGCUUGAACGGAGCCAUCGGGAAGCGGCAUGGGCCGCGGGUGGUACUCGGCAUUCUGAAAAAUGCAGUCACUCUCUUCGAUGCCAAUAUUUGAGCUCAGAUCCUACAAGUAGGUACCCAAAUGAAAAUUACCGAAGAAUAUUAGAUUCAUAAGUCUGAGAUACACAAAGAAGCAAACAAAACCUGCAAACCUCCCCCCCAUACCAAGAACAAAUCUCAUCCCAGUCCGGAGCAAGGUGGAC